UACGUAGGCAGCGAGCGUUGUUCGGAGUUACUGGGCGUAAAGGGUGUGUAGGCGGUUGUUUAAGUUUGGUGUGAAAUCUCCCGGCUCAACUGGGAGGGUGCGCCGAAUACUGAAUGACUUCGAGUGCGGGAGAGGAGAGUGGAAUUCCUGGUGUAGCGGUGAAAUGCGUAGAUAUCAGGAGGAACACCGGUGGUGUAGACGGCUCUCCGGACCGUAACUGACGCUGAGACACGAAAGCGUGGGUAGCAAACAGG
rnacentral:rRNA from 1 species